UCAGUUGAACAUUUGGUUCCUUUAGUUAAGAUUCCUAACCAUACGAAUUUUUUCUUCGGAGGAGACAUUCGAACCAAAAAAGGCCAGAGCUAUUGAGCCUUCGGCAAGGUACAAUAAGUGAUUGCUCAUUUUUUCAAUAGUAUAGCCGAGGUUUCCGCGUCAGUACUUGCAUAUUUUAAACAAUUUUAGACAUGGAGUAUUUUCGGAAGUAUACUAAAUUAGAGUAAUGUCUACUAUUUUCCAUUUGAACAUUUGGUUCGUUUGACUUAAUCAUACGAAUUUUUUCUUCGGAGGAGACAUUCGAACCAAAAAAGGCCAGAGCUAUUGAGCCUUCGGCAAGGUACAAUAAGUGAUUGCUCAUUUUUUCAAUAGUAUAGCCGAGGUUUCCGCGUCAGUACUUGCAUAUUUUAAACAAUUUUAGACAAGGAGUAUUUUUGGAAGUAUACUAAAUUAGAGUAAUGUCUACUAUUUUCCAUUUGAACAUUUGGUUCCUUUGACUUAAGAUUGCUAAUCAUACGAAUUUUUUCUUCGGAGGAGACAUU